ensembl:snoRNA SNORA24B small nucleolar RNA, H/ACA box 24
CUCCAUGAAUCCGUGGGACCUGCCGGCUGUGGCAGCUUCCCUUCCUAGACAUGGAAGAGUAAUGCCUCGCUAUUUGGCAAGGCUCGCACCGCGCCGUCGGUGGCGGAGCUGACUGGAGCGAGGGACACGC